UAACCUACCUAUAAGACGUGGGAUUAACGUUACCGGGAAACCGGAGCUAAUACCGGAUAAUAUUUCGAACCGCAUGGUUCGAUAGUGAAAGAUGGUUUUGCUAUCACUUAUAGAUGGACCCGCGCCGUAUUAGCUAGUUGGUAAGGUAACGGCUUACCAAGGCGACGAUACGUAGCCGACCUGAGAGGGUGAUCGGCCACACUGGAACUGAGACACGGUCCAGACUCCUACGGGAGGCAGCAGCC
rnacentral:rRNA from 1 species